rnacentral:rRNA from 1 species
GUGCCAGCCGCCGCGGUAAUCCGGAGGGUGCGAGCGUUAAUCGGAAUUACUGGGCGUAAAGCGUGCGCAGGUGGUUUGUUAAGCGAGAUGUGAAAGCCCCGGGCUCAACCUGGGAAUAGCAUUUCGAACUGGCAAACUAGAGUCUUGUAGAGGGGGGUAGAAUUCCAGGUGUAGCGGUGAAAUGCGUAGAGAUCUGGAGGAAUACCGGUGGCGAAGGCGGCCCCCUGGACAAAGACUGACACUCAGAUGCGAAAGCGUGGGGAGCAAACAGGAUUAGAUACCCCAGUAGUCC